AGAACAUAACAGAGACUUUAAAUUCAGGUGCUAAGAAAAGACCAUUGUCAGAGAUCCCUUGUUACAUUACAGUAUGACCAAGACAGACCAGCAACAAGUGAUGAUAAUAUUCUUUACACCAGCUGCUUUAUACACCCAUACUAACAGCAUCUGUGUUUGCAAUGUACCCUCUACAAGUUAUCUAAGGAAUUAGAAGCGUAAGUAAUAACGAAAAUCAUGUCCUAACAUGAGACAUUCUCUCAGUUGAAGAGCUGACAUUAUUUUCUGAAAGAUCCUGAAAUGAACAGAAGGUUGCAAUGUCUUUGGUUAA